UAAACUUGGAGUUGUCAAACUACCGACCAUUAUUAGUGAUGAUGAUCCGAGGUAAACUAAACCGACAAAUUAUAGAUUUUCAGACAAAAUCUUACAUCUUUUUCUCUAUGAUUUGGGCUAAUGGUUUUGCUUCUAUCCAUUUUGUGAAAUGAUCAAUUAUCACUAUCAAAAAUUUUUUUUGAUCUGUCGCCACUGAAAAAGAUCCCAAUAUAUGCAUCUCUUAAAUUGCAAAAGGCCAAGGAGCAGUAAUAAAGAUAAGUUCAGCAGC
rnacentral:lncRNA from 1 species